rnacentral:rRNA from 1 species
UACGGGGGGAGCAAGCGUUGUUCGGAUUUACUGGGCGUAAAGGGCGCGUAGGCGGUCGUGACAAGUCACUUGUGAAAUCCCCGGGCUUAACUCGGAACGGUCAAGUGAUACUGUCGGACUAGAGUACAGAAGGGGCAACUGGAAUUCUCGGUGUAGCGGUGAAAUGCGUAGAUAUCGAGAGGAACACCUGCGGCGAAGGCGGGUUGCUGGGCUGAUACUGACGCUGAGGCGCGAAAGCCAGGGGAGCGAACGGG